GUGAGAACCUAAUGUACUUGCUGAAGAUACAGUGAAGAGCGAAAAACAAGGGAUUUAUUUUUGCAGUCUACACAAAGAAACGGAGUGGUGAAUUUUAAUUGUAUAUUCUAAAACAAGAAGACAAAAUCCACUGACAAAGGACAGUAUAUUGACUUCACAUUCAUGUAUAUAUGUAUAAAACGAAAGAUACUGUCCUUUCAUCUCUGCAGCAAUGAGGACAACUAGAAUGUGGCUUUUAUUUAUGAUAGCAUUCUUCUGCAAGCAGAAUACAGUAGACUUAGGACAAGUGACAAGCUUUGCUUCCGGAAAUUUGACAAAUCAUGAUGAAACCGUACAGACGACAAUCACCAGU